rnacentral:rRNA from 1 species
UACGGGGGAGCAAGCGUUGUUCGGAUUUACUGGGCGUAAAGGCGCGUAGGCGGCCUCUGCAAGUCGACUGUGAAAUCUCCGGGCUUAACCCGGAGCGGUCAAGUGAUACUGUCGUGCUAGAGUGCGGAAGGGCUACUGGAAUUCUCGGUGUAGCGGUGAAAUGCGUAGAUAUCGAGAGGAACACCUGCGGCGAAGGCGGGUAGCUGGGCCGACACUGACGCUGAUGCGCGAAAGCCAGGGGAGCGAACAGG